UACCAGCACCCCGAGUGGUCGGGACGAUUAUUGGGCCUAAAGCAUCCGUAGCCGGUCUUGCAAGUCUUCCGUUAAAUCCACCUGCUUAACAGAUGGGCUGCGGAAGAUACUACAAGACUAGGAGGCGGGAGAGGCAAGCGGUACUCAGUGGGUAGGGGUAAAAUCCUCUGAUCCAUUGAAGACCACCAGUGGCGAAGGCGGCUUGCCAGAACGCGCUCGACGGUGAGGGAUGAAAGCUGGGGGAGCAAAC
rnacentral:rRNA from 1 species